CAACAGAGGGUGCAAAUCUCAGAAUCGCAGCACGCGAGCCCACAGGAAGGAGCGAAGAGAACGAAAGAGAGAGAGACGUGCGUCUUUCUCUUGCUCGCUCGCUGUUGCUGCUGUUGUGGUUUUCUCUCUCGCGUGUGUCUGUGUGUGUGCCCGCCUGCCUGCCUGUCUGUGUGUCUGUCUGUGUGUGUGUAUGGCUGGGGGGGAGAUUUCGUCUUCGCCAUCUCGCCUCCCUCUUCUUCUACUUUCCUCUUCCUGUUCCUGCUUGCCUUUCUUGCCCACCUCACUCCCUCAUCAUCUCCUCACGCUUACAUACGUCACACACGCGUACACUUGCGGAUACGCAGGACGCAGCACACGGCAGACCUACAUCCAUCCACCUAUCCAUCCAUCCAUACACUUACACGCCGGCCAACGUGUACUCGCGCACUUUCCUCUUUUGCUUUUUUGCGUUUUAUUGUUGGACGAACACUCGUGCGUACGCACAGGCAUACACGCCCGUGUGCACGCAUAUUCGCGCGACAGGUGUUCCCGGAGCACGGUCUGCGCUUUCACACAACGCGUGCGCCUCUCCCUCUGCGUGCGUGUGUGUGCGUGUGCGUCGCUCCUCGUCUUCCCUGUGUUGCUGUUGGCCUCGUUGUCAUUCUUCGGUUGUCAGUGCCUUCUCUCUCUUUCUCUUUGUUGUUUGUCGCGUAAACCCUUAUACAGCACGUCUGCUCAUACGCACUAUUCACGUUCCCUCACCCUCACACGUCGUUGACCGUGGUGUCUGUGUCCAGUGACGGGCCAGGUGUCGCUCGCCCUCUCCCUUCCUCUCUUCGUGUGUGUGUGUGUGUGUGUGUGUGUGUGUGCGUGCGUGUGUGUGUCCUUCUGUGAUUCCUUUCUGGCUUGUCGCUCGUGUUCGGGCAUGGUAGUGAGGAGGAGGGUGGGGGGAUUUCUACGUGUGCGGGUGCGUCUCUACUAGCCCUGCCAUUUCUUCAGGAAGAGGGUGUGUGUGUGUGUGUGGAUGAGGUGACUCUUGCUGCCUUCACCGCCGUCGCCCUCCUUUCCAGAGCCCAUUGCGUACCCCCUCCCCCUCCCUCUAAUUUCGUUCUGGCUCUUUUAUCAGCAAUAACACCAUUAUCAUCUGCUGCUGCUUCAGUCGUUGUCUUCUGCCAUUCUUUUCGGUUCUGUGCUCUCUUUCUUUUUUUUUCGGACUACUUACUCACGCCCCUCCGCCCACACACACGCACACACAAACAUACAAACAUACAAACACACGGUGUCUGUGUUCCUGUGCAGGUGCGUGUGUGUUCGUGUACGUGCGUGCUUGCGUGCGUCUGUGCCUCUCUCUAUGUAUAACCGACCUGCGCACGCCUGAUCCGAUUGUGGGCGUGUUGUUAGUGAUAUUCGGUUGUGCGGGUUUCGCUGUCUCUCUCCCUGUCCGGCCGUUGCUGCCACAGUCGCUGCCCGAGUCCUCUCGGGCAUCAUGGACGGCGAGCGUGAAACAAACGCGACCCCGACGUCGUUUUUCAGGGGCGUCUCCGAGAAGCUGGAAUCGCAGCAGCAAGAGCAGCAAACCUCGUCAUCCGGCCGACUCACUGCCGCCUCCAGCAGCAGUAUCAAUGCGAUGCCGGCGAGUCCGUACCGCGGCGGCGGCGCAGGAGGAGGCGCCACCCCGCCGUCCUCGGCCACCACCACCCCCACCUCUACCGUGACGCCGGUCAGCACACUAAUCACGCAGGUGUCGCAGCACGCGCCGUCCAGCUUGCAGCAGCAGCGGAGCGCUGGGGGGCAUACUGGUGGCUACGGCGAUAGCAGUGGCACGGACGGCAGCGGCAAUGCACACGCCGGCCCCCGAGUCGCCGGCGGUAGUACAGGCGGCAGCACCGGCUCCCGCCAGCGCGUGCACGCCACUGAAUUGGUGGAGCGGGCCCGCUACAUCCGCAACCAGCCCAAGAACACGUCGCCCAUUGACGCCUCGGCGCACCCCUCGUUACUACCGGAGCCGCUUCCCGCCGUCCGGAACAAGAAGUGCCUCAUUCUCGACGUCGACGAGACGCUGGUGCACAGCUCCUACCAAAACACGGGUCGGUACGACGUGCACCUCCCUAUCGCCCUCGAUCGUGACACCCAUGUAAACGUCUAUGUAGCCUUCCGGCCGCAUCUCCAUCGCUUCCUCGAGGCGGUAGCGCCGCUCUUCGAGGUUGUCAUCUUCACGGCCUCCCUCAGCACGUACUGCGACCCGCUGAUGGACUCGAUUGAUAAGCAGCGCAUUCUUGGCAGCCUGCGACUCUUCCGCGAGCACUGCAGUGUGGUCGGCACAACCUACGUGAAAGAUCUCUCGUUGUUAGGCCGAAAUCUAGAGCAGGUGGCGAUCAUCGACAACAGCCCCAUCGCCUACCUCUUCCAGCAGCGCAACGCAAUCCCCAUCACGUCAUGGUUCGACGAUUCACGCGACGAGGAGCUGCUGCGCUUGAUCCCUGUGCUGGAGGCACUGGCGGAGGCGGACACCGUGUACGAUGUGCUGGACAACUACAACGCACUCCUGCAACUCCAACAGCUCCACGAGAACAGCGGAGAGAAGUAGUGGCCGCACUCGCUCAGCCACACUCCAGACAACUAGGUUCGCCAGGUCGCAACUGCGUGCGCUUUUUGGAAGAGAGGAAGAUGCGAAGGAAGCGAGUGCCCUGCCGUGGGGGCGUGUUGCUGCGACGUCCACGCAAAUGCGUAUGCAUGCAUUUUCACGCUUGUGUGUGUGUGUGUGUGCACGCUCGUCUGUGCUCGGGCGUCAACGCGUGCUUGCGCUGCGAAGAGGAAGGAGUGUCAGUGGUGCGCACUCUGUGUCUAAUGCUCUAUGGCGCAUACUCCUCUUCGCAAGUUUCAGGCAAUGCGAAUCCCCCCCUCCCCCUCCCUCUCCCUCACUGUCUCCUGCGUGCGUCGGUUCAAGGAUGCGCUAUGCGCAUCCCUCUCACGCUUGUACGAUUUCUUUAGUUUGUAGUCGUGUUCAGCAUAUCGCGUUUGCCGCCACCAGCCACCGCCCAUGGUCGUGCCCCCCCCCUCCCUUCCUUCUCUCCAUUCCUUCCUGCCCUCUGUCCACGUCACCCCACUCCACCCGUGUGCUACCUCUUGG
rnacentral:misc_RNA from 1 species